GACGAACGCUGGCGGCGUGCCUAAUACAUGCAAGUCGAACGCAUUUUCUUUCACCGUAGCUUGCUACACCGAAAGAAAAUGAGUGGCGAACGGGUGAGUAACACGUGGGUAACCUGCCCAUCAGCGGGGGAUAACACUUGGAAACAGGUGCUAAUACCGCAUAAUUCCAUUUACCGCAUGGUAAAUGGAUGAAAGGCGCUUUUGCGUCACUGAUGGAUGGACCCGCGGUGCAUUAGCUAGUUGGUGGGGUAACGGCCUACCAAGGCUGCGAUGCAUAGCCGACCUGAGAGGGUGAUCGGCCACACUGGGACUGAGACACGGCCCAGACUCCUACGGGAGGCAGCAGUAGGGAAUCUUCAGCAAUGGACGCAAGUCUGACCGAGCAACGCCGCGUGAGUGAAGAAGGUUGUCGGAUCGUAAAACUCUGUUGUUAGAGAAGAACAAGGAUGAGAGUGGAAAGUUCAUCCCUUGACGGUAUCUAACCAGAAAGCCACGGCUAACUACGUG
rnacentral:rRNA from 1 species